rnacentral:rRNA from 1 species
CCUACGGGAGGCAGCAGUGGGGAAUCUUGCACAAUGGGGGAAACCCUGAUGCCGCGACGCCGCGUGGGUGAAGCAGUAAUUCGUUAUGUAAAGCUCUAUCAGCAGGGCAGAAAAUGACGGUACCUGAGUAAGAAGCCCCGGCUAACUACGUGCCAGCAGCCGCGGUCAUACGUAGGGGGCAAGCGUUAUCGGGAUUUACUGGGUGUAAAGGGAGCGUAGACGGGAGUGGAAGUCUGGAGUGAAAGGCGGGGGCUCAACCCCCGGACUGCUCUGGAAACUGUACGGCUGGAGUGCAGGAGAGGUAAGUGGAAUUCCGGGUGUAGCGGUGAAAUGCGUAGAUAUUAGGAGGAACACCAGUGGCGAAGGCGGCUUACUGGACUGUAACUGACGUUGAGGCUCGAAAGCGUGGGGAGCGAACAGGAUUAGAUACCCUGGUAGUC